rnacentral:tRNA from 1 species
UGACCGCGUAGCUCAGUUGGCAGAGCAUUGGGCUAGUAUUCCAAAGGUCGUAGGUUCGAUUCCCACCGUUCAA